CGGGGGGAGCAAGCGUUGUUCGGAUUUACUGGGCGUAAAGGGCGCGUAGGCGGCCACCGCAAGUCGACUGUGAAAUCUCCGGGCUUAACCCGGAAAGGUCAGCCGAUACUGCGGGGCUAGAGUGCAGAAGGGGCAACUGGAAUUCUCGGUGUAGCGGUGAAAUGCGUAGAUAUCGAGAGGAACACCUGCGGCGAAGGCGGGUUGCUGGGCUGACACUGACGCUGAGGCGCGAAAGCUAGGGGAGCGAACGGGAUUAGAUACCCCGGUAGUCCUAGCCCUAAACGAUGAAUGCUUGGUGUCUGGGGUUUUAUAGUCCCCGGGUGCCGUCGCUAUCGCUUUAAGCAUUCCGCCUGGGGAGUACGGUCGCAAGACUG
rnacentral:rRNA from 1 species